AGUGGCGUACGGGUGAGUAACACGUGGAUCAUCUACCUUUUAGUGGGGAAUACCCCCGGGAAACUGGGGAUAAUACCGCAUAAGCCUGUGAAGGGAAAGCAGCAAUGCGCUGAAAGAGGAGUCCGCGGCUGAUUAGCUAGUUGGUGAGGUAAUGGCUCACCAAGGCGAAGAUCGGUAGCCGGCCUGAGAGGGCACACGGCCACACUGGCACUGAAACACGGGCCAGACUCCUACGGGAGGCAGCAGUGGGGAAUCUUGCACAAUGGAGGAAACUCUGAUGCAGCGACGCCGCGUGAGCGAUGAAGCCCUUCGGGGUGUAAAGCUCUUUCGACGGGAACGAUAAUGACGGUACCCGAAGAAGAAGCUGCGGCUAACUACGUGCCAGCAGCCGCGGUAAUACGUAGGCAGCAAGCGUUGUUCGGAAUUACUGGGCGUAAAGAGUGUGUAGGCGGUGUUCUAAGUUUGUCGUGAAAUCUCCCGGCUUAACUGGGAGGGUGCGGCGAAAACUGGAAUGCUAGAGGAUGGGAGAGGUAAGCGGAAUUCCUGGUGUAGCGGUGAAAUGCGUAGAUAU
rnacentral:rRNA from 1 species